ensembl:miRNA
UGGCUGGCUGAGGUUUGGGGAGGAUUUGCUCGUGCUAAAGAGGAAAGCAGAACCUACCCACCCCUACACCCUCCUAUAGCCA